rnacentral:tRNA from 1 species
AGCAAAGUGGCGCAGCGGGAAGCGUGCUGGGCCCCAUAACCCACGGUCGAUGGAUCGAAACCAUCCUCUGCUA